GGCUGGUCCGAUGGCAGUGGGUUAUCAGAACUUAUUAACAUUAGUGUCACUAAAGUUGGUAUACCACCCCCCCACACGCUAAAUUUGACUGGCUUUAA
rnacentral:Y_RNA from 1 species